CCCGCUGAACUUAAGCAUAUCAAUAAGCGGAGGAAAAGAAACCAACAGGGAUUGCCUCAGUAACGGCGAGUGAAGCGGCAACAGCUCAAAUUUGAAAUCUGGUCCCCCUUCCGGCCCGAAUUGUUAUUUGCAGAGUAUGCUUCCGUGAGGACGCUGGUCCAAGUCCCCUGGAACGGGACGACGUAGAGGGUGAGAGCCCCGUCCGGUCGCGCGCCCAACCCAUGUGUUGCUCCUUCGACGAGUCGAGUUGUUUGGGAAUGCAGCUCUAAAUGGGUGGUAGAUUCCAUCUAAGGCUAAAUACUGGCCAGAGACCGAUAGCGCACAAGUAGAGUGAUCGAAAGAUGAAAAGCACUUUGAAAAGAGAGUUAAACAGCACGUGAAAUUGUUGAAAGGGAAGCGCUUGCUGCCAGACCCUUCCGUGAUUGCUCAGUCCUCCUCGGCCGACUCGCAUCUUUCACGGGUAGGGCCAGCAUCGGUUUAGGUGGUUGGAUAAAGGCUCCUGGGAAUGUGGCCCUCUCGGGGAGUUAUAGUCCUGUGUGCAAUGCGCCCUGCUUAGACCGAGGGAAGCGAUUUUUUCCAGGAUGCUGGCUUAAUGGUCGCAAGCGGCCCGUCUUGAAACACGG
rnacentral:rRNA from 1 species